CCUACGGGAGGCAGCAGUGGGGAAUAUUGCGCAAUGGGCGAAAGCCUGACGCAGCGACGCCGCGUGAGGGAUGAAGGUCUUCGGAUCGUAAACCUCUGUCAGCAGGGAAGAACGGUCACUGUGCUAAUCAGCAGUGAAUUGACGGUACCUGCAAAGGAAGCACCGUCUAACUCCGUGCCAGCAGCCGCGGUAAUACGGAGGGGGCGAGCGUUCAUCGGAAUUACUGGGCGUAAAGCGCUCGUAGGCGGUAUGGCAAGUCAAGGGUGAAAGCCCCGCGCUCAACGGGGGAAGUGCCUUUGAAACUGGCAAACUGGAGUGGGUGAGAGGAGAGUGGAAUUCCAGGUGUAGGAGUGAAAUCCGUAGAUAUCUGGAGGAACAUCAGUGGCGAAGGCGACUAGCUGGAACAUAACUGACGCUGAGGAGCGAAAGCGUGGGUAGCAAACAGGAUUAGAUACCCGUGUAGUC
rnacentral:rRNA from 1 species